AAUGACAAGGUAGAACUCUCACCCUCCAGACUGGAGCAGUCUGUGCUCCCCAGCAGCUAACCGCCCCGGGACGCUCGGCCUCUAGUGCCUCCUUACCUCCAACUUAGAUAGAAAUUAAUGAAAACACCAUUUCCAGACGAGUAUGAAAUAAGAAUAUAAAAGGUGUUAGCUUUUUUGGUUUGUUUUUGCAUUGUGAUCUUAAAGCAUCCUGUAGUAUGCUGGUGUGUCGACUGCUGGUAGUCUCUGCUGCGUGGUGUGAGCAGAAUACCCGUUUCUGAGAGGAACAGCAAAGAAACAUAAGUACAAAAACUGAUGGACCACUACAUCUUCCAAAAUGAGCCUAUUCACGCGUUUCUGCUGGAAACUAGCAUGUUUUGAAGAGAGAAGAAUUCGGUGCUGGACUGUCUCGAGCAUUAUCGGUGGUGCAGCUUCAGGGACCAGCUUGGUUUACCUGACUUGAGGAGUCACAUGUACAGCAAGCCAAAGGGACAUGGGCUUUCAGUACACCUGGAAAAAUGAUCAGACCAACCAAGAAGAUCCUGGUGUCUGUGUUCAGCAGCAGCAGAGCAGAAGAAAUGCCACAGGAAAGAGAAGAGGGGGAAAAGAGCAGUGAGCUGUAAAGAAAAAGCUACUGAGAGCUUCAUGGUGCUAGUCUGGGAGGAGGAGGAUGAGUAGGUUUUAUGUGUCUUAGGAGUAUUUACAUAGGGCUGAUCAACAGUUCUCAAAAGAACUUUAUCACAAAGCUACAGAGGACUGUUAAUACCAAAAAUAGUGCCUCAUUCUAUCAGGCUCCAACUUACAAAUGCUUGAAUUCAGCUUCCUUAAUGGGCUUUUGACAUUUUUUUGUAUUUUUUUUGCUAUAAGUCUGAGUAAUAUUCCUCAAAGAGGUUGUGUAACAGCAGCAAGGCUGGAAAGAUUUAAUUCAGCAAGACCUCAUGCUGCAAAAGAUCAGAUUAAUUUUUUAGCUUCUGGUCUUGCUGCAGAGCUUUCAGUGUUUCAUUGUCUCCAUAGGAAGAGAGUCCUGCAAAGUUCCAGGUCUUCUCUUUUUACUUUGCUUAGAUGGAGCAACCUCAGUCAGCCCACCCAGCCAUUAGGUCCCCCUGUCAGCUCUGCUCUCCUGAUGGUUCUGUGGUAGAUUCUGUUUGUUGGCAAGCCUCACCCAAAAAUGGGCUUUUCUACAGACUUUUCCAAAACUGAACAGACUGGUUAUUUCCAUUCUCUGAAUUUGUGCUCCUGUCACUGGAUAAAGUUGCCUUGCUUGAGACAACUUGAUAGUUAUAAUUUGCACUCAGUCUGUGAUCCUCUCUAUAGCUCCAAAUCCUUCUCUACAAAACAUCUGCUCAGCAGUUGUUGGUAUAUUUGUGCAAGUGGAUUUUGCCCUCUGAACAGAACAUCCAACAUUGUUUCACUAUUUCCCAGUGGUUUCCUAUUUCUGCAUUGACAGAUCAGUGCCUUUUUGUGGGAAUAACGUAGGUGAUAGGACUUUCCUUUCCACAUGUUAGUGCUGAGGCUUGGCUCUCAGGACCCAUGAGCCCAGCUCUGCAGUGCUCUGCAGCUCCCAGCCUAGGGAAGGGUGGCUGUAGCUUAGCCAGCUUUAAAAGCAUCCCUUAUGGCCGAUAAUUGUACGUUCUUAUUACUUUUGCAGCAUUUGUCACUGCUGGCAAUUCUGUUAGCGUUAAUUAUUGUUAUGGAAGACUUCAUUUUGGAGCGUUCUCUGGGAGAAUCACUAUUUCAUGGCUGCUUCCCCAAAUAAAUGGAUCUGCUUUUCUCGUGGGUCCUCUGCUAGGGAUUUCUGCAAAUGACCUCCAAGGGGAAAAAUAAGCAGAAAAUGUACUCGUUUCCUUCCCUUUAAUUGUGUUUUUGGUUAGGCAUUGAAGAUGGGGGGGUGACUUUCUCAAAGCACUGCGUGUCUGAGUUCGUAGCCACCUCCAGCUCUCUGCUUUCAAUCAUGAACAGACCUGAAGGCCUCACCACAGCUCAGGUCCUGUCAGACUGCAAUUACUCUCAGCUGUGUUUGCAGGAAGGAAUUCUUGACCAGAGUCUCUCUUCAGUUCUGAGAUUUUAAAAACCACCAGAAGAUCUCCAGGCUUACAGACGAUUUCUGCUGCCCACGCCACCACUGAAGUUCAGGGCACUCAGAAGAGGAAUGUUUGCCUGCAGGGUUGGAGGGAAUCAAGUAUUUUGUACAUUUCAGAGCUUGACAAUAAAGCGUCCCUUUAGAUAUCGUAUCUAUGCAAACACUUAGGCUUUCAGCAGAGUGGAUUUGUAAGCAGCCUUAUGUACAUGUAGUUACGAAAUUAGCCUUUGAGUUACUUCAGUCUAUUCUAAUUUUCUGCUUUUGCCAGAGUGAGUGUUUGGCAUUUGCUGUAGUUUUUCUGAUUCCCUGUGUGCCAACAGAGAUGGGACACUGGGAUGAACAGGCAUUGCUCUGCUCCCACAUGAACUUUGUUUUUAUAGUAGCUUAUAUCCUUGUCAUACACCAUGCGAUUUUUUUCCUUCUGUUUUUGCUUUAAUAUUGAACUAAACAUAAGGUCCUGUUUGGCCAUCUGAUACUUCAUAAAGAGUCCCCUGCUUUUGCCAGCGCUUGUGUCUGAAUGAGACAUGGGGAAGUUCUAACAAUGAUCCACUUGUAGGUAGUUACCCACCACUUGUAGGUAGUUACCCACCACUUGUAGGUAGUUACCCACCACUUGUAGGUAGUUACCCACCACUUGUGCAACAGAGGAGCUCAUGUGUGUUAUUGAGGCGCAUAACUGAUUGCAGCCCUCCUGUUUUCUAAUGCUGUUGUUUGGCUACCAGCACGAUCUUGUAAGCAGCCAUCACUUUUAGGCCAAUGGUUGCUUUUCAUACCGAGUGAACUUAUCUUGGAUUCAGUUCAGGACCUUUGCGUUUGUAAAGUUGUAACUUGGGCUGUUGAGACAAGGAGACAAUUCAGUGUUGGUACGCUGGCCCUGGGCACCAUGGAAAAGAAAAUCUGAAGUUGCAUGUUGAAGUGCUUUUCCUCUAUCGGAGCCGUCCUGGGGUUUUGUUCCCACUUACUUUCCCUGCUGGGUGUUUUUAAAAUGUCACUGCAAUUAACCCUUGGAAACCUCUGAAAAUUAUUUUCUGUUCUAUUUUUGCCUAUGAGCUCUUAGCUCUGUGGCAGUAUUUCUCCUUUUCUACCCCUUUUUGAGCGUGGUACUGUGCUCCCUUUCUCAAUCUUGUCUUUAUCCCAUUUUGUCUUAGGGUAAGGAAGCAAUUGCCAUUUUUGUUUCUGUCCUAAAAGUGCACAGAAAUCUAUAAGCUCAUUUCCAUACCAUGGUGGCAAGGUUUUAAAGCAGAACUUUGUGCUCUGGGGACAAGGAAGGCAGGACCCAAAUGUCCAGGUGGUGAGAAGUCAUGGCAUGCAGACAUCCCUUGGAAAUGUCAUUCCCUUCACAGCACUGCUUCUUCUUUUGUGUCUUACUGUUUGACCUGCAGCUGUUGUGUGGUCUGGGUAGAAACCUCAUGAUGUAUUUUUCAUGAAUUCUAGCUCUUAAAAAAAAAAUAGGUUUUCAUUCAUUAGAUCUCCUCAGCAGAAGUUAAUGUGUGCUUUCUUUGAUCUUGAAAGUAGGUAAUGAGAGAUUUACAUUAAUUUUCAUUUUCUCUGGUCAGCUUUAUAAAGCUUCAUUCAAAAACUGAAGUCCCAAAUCAAAGCUGAAAUGAUUGUGGCUGCCACUGCAUUCGGAGCCCACUGAUGCACUCAUAUCAUAGCAGCCUUUUGGUUGGAUUGAUUGCAUCCAGACCCUGGGUACUUCUGAAAGGUGAGGGUGUGCAGGGGGCUUCCAUGCUUUACCUUCUGUCUGUGCCAUCCUGGCCAUCUGCUGAGCCCCUGUCUCCCUGUCAAAGACACUUAAACAAAAAAAACCCCAACAAAUAACUCUACUGUCUUACCUCAUGCAAACAACAACCCAUCUCCUCAUGUAAGUGCAUUCUGUGUAAGUACUCUGUGUGUGUGUGUGUGGCUCUGUUAGCCUUCAGGAAGGCCGUUCUCCUUCCAUUGAAGUUAGCAUCAGGGGUAGAAAGGAGCACAGUCUUCGUUUUCCAAACUCAGAUCUGCUUUGUUGCACCCGUGAUUUUGGGAUGCUACCCGGUUUCCAUAGAAGAAGAUGGGAAUGCCUCAGAUAUCCUCUCAAAAUGUGCCUCACAGGGUAAAUGUCAGGAUAUCCAAUUUUGGCUCAGUUGCUUCCUGCUGGCUAGGAGCAUGGGCGGUGGAAAUAUGGAAAAUCUGGAAGCUACAAAUUAUUCAGAAACAGUUCUAAUCACACUGAUGAGUUCUGUUACCCCCCCCCCAAGAUCAUGGAAUCAUAGAACAGCUUGGGUAGGAAGGGGGCUUAUAGCUUGCCCAGUCCCAACCCUUGCUGUUGGCUGGCUGCCUCCCACCAGCUCAGGCUGCCCAGGACCCCAUCCAGCCUGGCCCUGAGCACCUCCAGGGAUGGGGCACCAUGCUUUUCUGGGCAGCCUAUGCCAAAUGGUGUAAUUGCAGUGUGCAGCUGAGGUUUUUCUUCAGGCCUUAAUUCCUGGCCAUGCUCGUCUCCCCGCUCCUUCUCUCCUAUCUCAAAGAUGCAAAACCAAGGCUGAGCUUGGCUCUGGGCAGAGAGAACGCAAGUACCGAGGGAUGCGGUUUAGUGGGAAGUAUUGGUGAUAGGUGGGCAGUUGGACUGGAUGAGCUCGGAGGUCUUUUCCAACCUUAGCGAUUCUAUAAUUCUACCAUCAGUGAUCUGGUGCUGCUCUUGGUGCCUCCACCAGGACACCGCCAUCCACUCAGGCCUCCGGCAUGGCGCAGUGCCCUCGCACCUGGCGUGCAGAACUGAGGACGUGCGUUGGCACGGCUGUGGGAUGGGAUGAAGAUGGCGGUGGGCUGCUGUGCGGCUGGAGGCCUGCUGUGCCCUCUGCUCCCUGCGCUCGGCUGCACGUCUUCAACUCGGUGUGCUUGGAGUUGUGCUGAGCACUUCUGACAUUGGGCGCUUGUCUGCCUGCUGUGCGAGUGUUUGGGGAGAGCUGAAUGCGUGAUUCUGUCCGUGCUCCUAUUUUGAUUUUGUUGGUGCCUUUGCAUCACUUAUCAAACACAAGCCUCCUAUUGUUCUCCCUGCGGCUUCCUUCCAGUGCAUGCUUAUAUUUCAUUAUCUUAAUAAUAAUACCCAGGGUUUGAAAUCCUCAAAAAAAAACAACAAAACAAACAAAAAAAAACCAACCACCAACCCGAGAGAUAACAAACUCCUUUUCUGAUUACUAAAUGCACUUGAUUCAUAGAACAGAUGGCUGCUAUUCGAUACGCUGCCGUCACCGAGCCGCGCGCAGGGGCAGCAGCUCGGCUCGGAGGCAGCGGAGGAUGUCCUCGCCCGCUCCUUCCCCAGCAUGGCAGCACUGAUGCCAUUUUCCCCCCAGCCCCAGCGAUGCACAGCCUGCUCCCUGCAUCCCCUCCCCGCCUUGCUGGCGUGGGGCUGCUGGGCUCGUGCUGCCCGGAUCUGGCAGGCAGGAGGUGGCCGGCGGUGCCCGCGCGGAUUGGCUGCCCUCUGCUCCCCAGCCAGCACCGCCGAAUCUCCAAACAGCCCCAUUUCCAUCCAUUCAUGAAUCUGUGACGUCAGCACGCUUCUGUGCUCCUUUGCAGCAGGCUGCAGGAUUGUGUGGGUGGAAUUUCCUUUUAUUUUGCAACGCUUC